UGAAUAUGGUUACUGUAUAAUUCAUCCCUUUUGACCCCUGUGUUUAGGAUGACUCAGGGUUAAACUGUCAACCCUGAUAAGAUCAUCCGAAUCGUGCUCAACUCAAUUAGUCCUGUGACUCCUCACUAGGACUACCCUGGCCAAGGUUUUGCUAAAUUGAAACACCACUGUACACAGCUCCUAAACUGGAGUGGUCAAUCCCAUCUUGACACACGCACCGACAAGUCAAGUACUUGACUACACCCAGCAGCCUUCCGUCACUGAAUUAGAAAUUCAGGUAGUCCAGUGCCUAAGUGUAGUGAGUUGCUUGCAAGUCACCAUGGCGGUCUCAGGUCGGAGGGACAUUUAUACCCAUAUCCCAUUGGAGCAAAUCUUGACAGCA
rnacentral:lncRNA from 1 species